rnacentral:lncRNA from 1 species
UGUCUGAACGCUGUGAGCGCGAAUCCGUGGCGGUAGCUAAGACUAACUCCAAAAUCUCAAGAUCGUCACAUGGUCAGACAAUUCGAUUCUGUACUCAGAGUCAAAUAGCUCUCGAGAGCACAAGUCAUCGCUACCCAAGGACUCGGAGAGUUGAGUGGCAUGCCCCACGUCGGAGCUCAAGGCCCGAAGCUCAACAGAAAAUGCUCAAAUCCCAGUCUAGAUAAGCAAGAAUUUGAGCUACCUGUGAGCAAAAGUAACAGUCAAAUUUUGGUCCACGUCAACUCCUCGAUCCUCAAGAUCAUCAUGGAAAACACCAAAUGCAAACGAAGACUGCCCCACAACACAUUCCCCGAUGAAGGUAAUGUGCUUUACCUGGUCCUAGCAUUCACAAGCGAUCCUAGCAGCUAUAAAAGCAAAAAACUAUUCCUGUGACGCAUAUCACCACGUUGAGUGGGACCCUUUUAUCGUUGCAUCGAAAUUGCACAAGCCACUCGACACUUCGACGUACUAGUUGACUUAUACAGUGGGUCGCAGUGCAAUAUCUAGUGCACGAUCUUGUGUAUGCCAUAGUGGUGACCCAUUGUCUCUCUGUUACGAUUCACCGAACACUUCCACAUAUUCUGGUGCAGUAACUUGCAAGGCACUUCGCCAAAAUCUUCAAAGUCGUCCUGCACGGUAAGCGAGUAGAAUUUUGCAUCUAUUAUGAGGUAGCAGGGUCACGAAGUAAUCCAGGUGCAACGUUGACGAGAAUGCCACCUCGGAUUGGUCAACCAGAUAUUGAGAAUCAAAGGAGC